AAGCGCUUGCAACCAGACUUGUGUGUGGCGGUUCCCCCGGUCGUCUGACCGGGUUAUUCUGUCACAACCAGGCCAGCAUCGAUUUAGGUGGCCAGUUAAAGGCUCUGGGAAGGUAUCUACCUUCGGGUCGACUUACAGCCCAGGGUGUAAUGUGGCCUACUUGGAUCGAGGAACGCGCUUUUGCCCGGAUGUUGGCGUAAUGGUUGCAAGCGG
rnacentral:rRNA from 1 species